rnacentral:rRNA from 1 species
UUAUUACCAUGAGCAAAUCAGAGUGUUUAAAGCAGGCUUUUAAGCUUGAAUGUGUUAGCAUGGAAUAAUGAAAUAUGACUUUAGUCCUAUUUUCGUUGGUUUAGGUACUUCAGUAAUAGAUGACAUAGAACACGGUAGGGGCACAUAACUCCG